GAAGAAAGCCCACUAAGUCGAAAAUAUGAAAGAUGACUUAGGAAAAAAUUAGGGCAUCCCGUUGGACUAGCAGUUUAAAUGAAAUGGUCCAGGAAAAAUUAGGGAUAAGAAGAAAAUUGAGAAGAAGGAUCUCCAAAAAUCCUUAGACAAAAGAAAGAACAAGACUAAACUUGUAUGACUACCAAACAAAAAGUAGAUGACUGCCA
rnacentral:lncRNA from 1 species